CAAUAUAUGUGAUUCGGUGAUAAGUGCGUAUUUAUGUCCACAAUUAUGCCUUAAAAUUGAAAUUUUUGAUCAAGUAUUUAUGCUUAAAUGGUUUAUUUUAAGUGGUUUUGUGAUGAUUAGAAUUGUUGGGGUUGGGAAUUAAAGAGACAUAAAGUGUAAGUUUUAGCGCAUAAAUUAUUCUUGGAUGUUCUAAUAUUUAUUUCUGCAACUGGAAUUAGAGUUUUAUUGGUCCAAAUUGCAAUUUAAGACCCAAAAUCAGGUUUUGUUUGGAAAAUAAUGUACAGAUGGGCCAAACAGUCAGAUUUUCCCCUUACACCUCCUAAAAUCUCUACAUACACUCCUAUUUCUGAAACAGGCCAACAACCAAGCCCAAACACUAAGCCUUUUCUCUUUUCUCUCCUGUAACCCCUAAUUUCCUAUACACACCCCUCCUACCACUAAUUAAGCCAGAUAUCAUCAGAUUUUGUCACGUGACAAUCCACCACUAAUAGAUACAACCACUCAGAACAUGCCACCUAAACCCCUCAUGCCACGUCAUCACCAUCUUCUCUAACAAACAAAAACCCUAAUUCCUCUUCCUAACCCUAGUCGCCGCCUCCUCCAUGGCAGCCACCCAAUAACCUUCAGCAACCACCUAGACGCCGGCCACCGCCAUAGCAUUCUCCUUCCUCUUGUGAGUUCGUCUGUUCGCAUUGCCACCAUGGCCACCGUUCAUAAUCAUCACCGCAUCAGAACCUGCAUCAAAACUAAACAAAAACCCAACAACAGAAAACCCAGUUUGUAGUCUCAUGUGCUAGCCUCCGUCGAUCUCAACCUGCAAAUCGAAACCAGAGAAGCAAGAUUCUCCGCUGUCACGCCAUCUUCCAUUCGCACGAGGCAAAAACACUCAACCAGCCAUCACCUUUACCUUCGUAUCUCCAU
rnacentral:lncRNA from 1 species